GAAAUGCGAUAAGUAAUGUGAAUUGCAGAAUUCAGUGAAUCAUCGAAUCUUUGAACGCACCUUGCGCUCCUUGGUAUUCCGAGGAGCAUGCCUGUUUGAGUGUCAUUAAUUUCUCAACCUCACCAACUUUUUGUUGUGUGAAGGCUUGGAUGUGGGGGUUGCAGGUCCGCAUUUAUGUGGUCUGCUCCUCUAAAACGUAUUAGUGGGUUAGUCCCCUAAUCUAUUGGUGUGAUAAUUAUCUACGCCGUGGAUUUGGAUGACUAUUAUAGACCCGCUUCUAACCGUCCUCUGGACAACUUUGACAAUUUUGACCUCAAAUCAGGUAAGACUACCCGCUGAACUUAA
rnacentral:misc_RNA from 1 species